GUUAUGGCUGUCGUCAGCUCGUGUCGUGAGAUGUUGGGUUAAGUCCCGCAACGAGCGUAACCCUUGUCCUGUGUUACCAGCGGGUAAUGCCGGGUACUCACAGGAGACUGCCGGCGAUAAGCCGGAGGAAGGAGGGGAUGACGUCAGAUCAGUAUGCCCUUUAUGCCCUGGGCUACACAGGCGCUACAGUGGCAGGGACAAUGGGCUGCAACGCUGUAAGGCGGAGCUAAUCCCGUAAACCCUGUCGUGGUGCAGAUUGAGGGUGCAACU
rnacentral:rRNA from 1 species